UGAGUGCGAGCUGCUACGGCAGCGAAGUUGGUGACGUCAAGCUUCCAAGAAAAGCCCUAUACCCGUUAAGGCAUCAUGGCCUGUACCCGAAACCGACACAGGUGGGGUGGUAGAGAAUACCGAGGGGCGCGAGGUAACUCUCUCUAAGGAACUCGGCAAAAUGGCCCCGUAACUUCGGGAGAAGGGGUGCCACCGCAAGGUGGUCGCAGUGAAGAGGCCCAGGCGACUGUUUACCAAAAACACAGGUCUCCGCUAAGUCGCAAGACGAUGUAUGGGGGCUGACGCCUGCCCAGUGCCGGAAGGUUAAGGAAGCUGGUCAGCGCAAGCGAAGCUGGCGACUGAAGCCCCGGUGAACGGCGGCCGUAACUAUAACGGUCCUAAGGUAGCGAAAUUCCUUGUCGGGUAAGUUCCGACCCGCACGAAAGGCGUAACGAUCUGGGCGCUGUCUCGGAGAGAGGCUCGGCGAAAUAGAAUUGUCUGUGAAGAUGCGGACUACGUGCACCCGGACAGAAAGACCCUAUGAAGCUUUACUGUAGCUUGGUAUUGUGCCCGGGCUCUGAAUGCGCAGGAUAGGUGGGAGGCUUUGAUCAUCGGCUUGCGGGUCGAUGUGAGCCAACGGUGAGAUACCACUCUUUCAGAGCUAGGGUUCUAACAGUCACCCGUUAUCCGGGGACUGGACAGUAUCAGGUGGGCAGUUUGACUGGGGCGGUCGCCUCCUAAAAGGUAACGGAGGCGCGCAAAGGUCUGCUCAGGCUGGUUGGAAAUCAGCCGACGAGUGUAAAAGCAGAAGCAGGCUUGACUGUGAGACCUACAAGUCGAACAGGGAGGAAACUCGGCUUUAGUGAUCCGACGGUUCUGCGUGGAAGGGCCGUCGCUCAACGGAUAAAAGUUACUCUAAGGAUAACAGGCUGAUCUUCCCCAAGAGUUCACAUCGACGGGGAGGUUUGGCACCUCGAUGUCGGCUCAUCGCAACCUGGGGCUGAAGUCGGUCCCAAGGGUUGGGCUGUUCGCCCAUUAAAGCGGUACGCGAGCUGGGUUCAGAACGUCGUGAGACAGUUCGGUCCAUAUCCGGUGCAUGCGCAGGAAUAUUGAGAGGAGUUCUCCCUAGUACGAGAGGACCGGGAGGAACGCACCUCUGGUGUACCAGUUAUCGUGCCAACGGUAAACGCUGGGUAGCCAUGUGCGGAGAGGAUAACCGCUGAAAGCAUCUAAGUGGGAAGCCCACCUCAAGAUGAGUAUUCCCAUGGCGUUAGCCAGUAAGGUCACGGGAAGAACACCCGUUGAUAGGCUCUAUGUGGAAGCGCAGUAAUGCGUGAAGCAGAGGAGUACUAAUAGACCGAGGGCUUGAC
rnacentral:rRNA from 1 species